rnacentral:rRNA from 1 species
UACGGGGGGGGCAAGCGUUGUUCGGAAUUACUGGGCGUAAAGGGCUCGUAGGCGGCCAGCUAAGUCGGAUGUGAAAUCCCCAGGCUCAACUUGGGAACUGCAUCCGAUACUGAUUGGCUUGAAUCCGGGAGAGGGAUGCAGAAUUCCAGGUGUAGCGGUGAAAUGCGUAGAUAUCUGGAGGAAUACCGGUGGCGAAGGCGGCAUCCUGGACCGGCAUUGACGCUGAGGAGCGAAAGCCAGGGGAGCAAACGGG